UGGUUCACUCCACAUCACUGUGCCUGUUUGGGAAACCCACAGAACACGUGAUUUUUGCUAAUGCUCUCAGUUCUUAUUUUCAGUCACUCUUUGCUGCUGUGCUCUCAUCUUACCUCUGAACAGGGGACUGUUUUAUUUACGCAGUGUUACACAGCAGUGGAUCAAAUAUUAAGUUACCAUCUCAGUUGUCAGGACAGCAACAAACAAUCCUGGUUUUCAUGUUAUAAUGCAAAUUUUCCAGCAGUCACAGCUAACUUGGUACACCUGUGACUGGCUUUAGAUGCAAGGGAUUUAAUGAGUAGAACAGGCUUCUCCCAGGAGGUUUGUGGUGCUCCUAUUUCUCAGAAGAGUUAUUGCAAGAACUCUGCCAAUUAAAAAAGUGACAUCAUACCUCCUGUUGCUCUUUCACCCUGGGAUUUCCUAUUAGUUUCUUUAAUUAGAGCUUUUUGCUAGCCUUGAGCUGACUGAAUACUGCCCAAUAUAUAUUUUAAGGCUAAAGAACUGCCAAGUUGCUAGUCCAGUAUAAAGCACAGGUAUUAUCUAUGCAGAUCAGGAAAGAUAUGUUGACCUGAAAUUUUCUCAGCAGGACAGGACUACACCUACACCAAACCUUCACCACCUAUAAUUCAGACAACAAACUAAGCUAGCAAUGGACAGCAGUGCCACUCACAUCCACAUGCUGGGGGAUCCCUCAGGGACCCUUUCUCCACCUGCAGAGAGUUUGCAAUCUCUGUCUGCUUUUCCUCAGUGUGACUUGUCUCCCUUGGGAGAGUAGCAGCUGGUUAAAGCCAGGACCCUGAUAAUUCUGGCAGUUAUGGAAGCUGUGCUCAUGGAUGUGAAGGGAGAGCCAGCCCAUGACGUGGGGAAAAAUAUACUUCUUCUUGGAUCCUGACAUCCCUGCUGGCUUUCCUGCCAUUCCCAUGAGCAUUCCAAAUUUAAUGUAAACAAGGGACUUCCUCUGGAACAGAAAAUAUACUGUGAGAUGUCACCAGGAGCUGUCAGCUGGAAUUUGUUAGAUCAAGAUGACCAGAUUUGCAAGGACUAAUGACAGUCCACCAAAACAGCUAAGACAUUGAAAUGUCUUUUUAUAUUGAAAGUUUUUCUUGUAGUCUGCAAUGCAAUUAUGUGGUAGUUAGAAGCUCUCAGAGUAAUGCCUUUUCCCUCUAUUAUGCUUAGAGUGAACAGAUAUUUAUGCUACCUGCCCAUACCUUUUGUCUUCCUGCUCUGUUGAAGCUUAUAGGGAACUGAUUAUGACUUCAGCAUCUCUCAAUAUCAUAGUGUCAAAUAAGAUAAAUCUGGACACAUGAAUUCAGCUGUUUGUUCCAGCUAUUUAAUUAUGCUGUUACUUUGUGCUGAUAUUGAAACCAUCAUUAUUUAAAUCUCAUUCCAUAAUGAAAUGCAUCUAGUCACAGAUUGUUGGAGUUUAAUGGGUACUUGAGUUCGUCAGAUAGUUGAAUAUUUCCUGCAAGACAGAGGCUGAAGUCCUCCCAAGCUAUUAGUUAAGCUGCCUCUAAAUUAUCACCUACUUUUGAAAGAAAUAGAACUUCCCAUUCCUGGCAAGAUGCUGGCAUUGCAGGAGCAUGUUUUCAGCACUGCCACUGGGAUGGCAAGGUUUCUGUCAUAUGAUACAUCUUUGGAACUAUGACUCUCCUUGCUACUCAGGUGGACAGAGCAUGCCAGAACACCAUUAAAAUACUUCCAAUUCUGCACUCAACUCUGAAUUUUCUGAGUUAACUCAAAUGUAAGACCACAUUCUUGAAUACACAUAGUACUGUCCCAGCUAUGCUUGUUGAAAGUUACCUACUGUUGAGAAGGACCAGAGCUGGACCAGGAAUAAAUAUACUGAAGAAUUUCAGGGUUUUUAAAUGUAUCUUGUUGAGAUCAUCCCCACUACGUUGGAUCCUGGAUCUUAUGAAGCAAA